CUGGAGGACCACCGGCUAAUGAGAGCGAAGCAAAGUCAGUUGGGCCCAUCCCCAAUGUGGAAUCUGGACCUUUGAGAUCGCAGGAAAGUUUGGAGGACCCUCCUGUGCCACCGCAGAGCCCGCGCCGGAAGUUUAAAAAGACGCUAAAGUCCGUGUCAACCCCAGGGUUGGGCAAGGCUGGGAGGCCUGGCUGGCCCCUCGGGGCCCCUAUCCUGGAGUAGGUUGACACCCGACCUGUGGUUUCCAGGAAGACCGGAGACGCCCGGGAGGAAGCGCCUGACCCGGCUUCCUGGAGGAGGACAGCUGAAGACAUUUAAAGAUGAGAGCUGUUCAGGGUGGGAGCCAAGGCCCAGAGACUAGUGCAACUCAGAGGAGCACGUCCGUGGGCUUGGUCCCUGUCCUUUCUUGGGCCACAGCUGACCCUUUUUUUUUUCCCGUAGCCCUCACAAGUGUUUUAUUCUGAGUAUUUUCAAACAUGCACAUUAAGGGGAAUAGUAUAACGCACUCUUAAGUACAUCUCAAACGCUACCAAUAUUCAACACUUCUGGAUUUCACUUGAUCUAUACUUCUUUGUCACGCGCGUCCGUGUGAAGAGACCACCAAGCAGGCUUUGUGUGAGCAACAAGGCUGUUUAUUUCACCUGG
rnacentral:lncRNA from 1 species